rnacentral:tRNA from 1 species
GGGGCGGUAGCUCAGUUGGGAGAGCGCCUGCCUUGCACGCAGGAGGUCGUGGGUUCGAGUCCCAUCCGCUCCA